UCUGGUAAUGAUGGCAGAGAGGUCACACCCGUUCCCAUACCGAACACGGAAGUUAAGCUCUCUAGCGCCGAUGGUAGUUGGGACCUUGUCCCUGUGAGAGUAGGACGUUGCCAGG
rnacentral:rRNA from 3 species